CUACUGGGGUAUCUAAUCCUGUUUGCUCCCCUUGCUUUCGCGCCUCAGCGUCAGUAUCAGCCCAGAAAACCGUCUUCACCACCGGUGUUCUUCCACAUAUCUACGCAUUUCACCGCUACACGUGGAAUUCCGUUUUCCCUAACUGAACUCUAGUCAGGAAGUUUCAAAUGCAGCUCCGGAGUUGAGCUCCGGAAUUUCACAUCUGACUUUCCCGACCGCCUGCGCGCCCUUUACGCCCAGUAAUUCCGAUCAAUGCUUGCACCCUCCGUAUUACCGCGGCUGCUGGCAC
rnacentral:rRNA from 1 species